UCCAGGUAUGAAAGUAGUGAAGGUGAUGGAAAUGCACACUUAAUGGAGCACUGAGGCUCUAAUUUGAAUGCACACAGAGCCUAGGCUAUUCAAUCCUUGCAAUGGGAAGGAAGCUGAUCACAGUCAUGAAAUGGCUGUGGCCAGAAGAAGCUCCAACUGAUUGAUAGUGCAGCAGGCACCUAGAAGUCACCAAGCUGUGUAGCAGUGAGGGACUACACGUGAAGAAAUAAGGUCAGGAAAAGCAGCACUUAAAUGAAACCACUUACAAUAGCAUUUGCCUGCCCUGCAUAUAUCUAUCCUAAAUGGUAGGAAAGUAUGAAAGCUUCCUUCUACUGCUACUUUUAGUGGGGUAAGCAGGGAGGAUAGGCGUGGGACCUUCCAGAGGCAUGAAGAUGACAUCUUGGCAUGGUUCAGAAGCAGCAGGAACAAAAGUCAGCUUAAACUAUCUUUAAUAAAAGCUGUGCACAGCAAGCACUGUCUCAGCCAUAAGCAGCUUUACACUGCAAGCAUAACACAGAGAGACCAGAAACAGCACAUACUACAGAGACCAAGUCUCACUUUUAGUGGUGAUUCAAAGGGGCAAAUGAGGACAAAAUUAAUGUAAGUAGGGGAGAAAAACUGACAUUGCUGUGGAAACCAUUGCACUUUAUGGCCUUUUAAGUCUAAACUAAAUUCCUGACAAUGAAUCAAUGUAGUUUUGCGUUAUUCUGCUAUUGCAGCCAGCCCAGAGUGGGCCAUGGUGACAAAUACCUUCCAGGCUAUCUCCAUGAAGCAGAAGCCCCUACUGUUUCAGCCAAAAUGCCUGUAGUGAUAGUAUAUGCUUUAUGUGGUUCAGCUAGGACUGGGAAACCCGAUCUCAUAAAUUUUGUCAACAUGAAUUAUGUUUUUAUUACAUUAAAUGGCAUUCUGGCAUUUGCCCAUACACCACAUCACAGCUCAGCA